rnacentral:rRNA from 2 species
UUGAUGUUCUAACGUGGACCCGUAAUCCGGGUUGCGGACAGUGUCUGGUGGGUAGUUUGACUGGGGCGGUCUCCUCCUAAAGAGUAACGGAGGAGCACGAAGGUUGGCUAAUCCUGGUCGGACAUCAGGAGGUUAGUGCAAUGGCAUAAGCCAGCUUGACUGCGAGCGUGACGGCGCGAGCAGGUGCGAAAGCAGGUCAUAGUGAUCCGGUGGUUCUGAAUGGAAGGGCCAUCGCUCAACGGAUAAAAGGUACUCCGGGGAUAACAGGCUGAUACCGCCCAAGAGUUCAUAUCGACGGCGGUGUUUGGCACCUCGAUGUCGGCUCAUCACAUCCUGGGGCUGAAGUAGGUCCCAAGGGUAUGGCUGUUCGCCAUUUAAAGUGGUACGCGAGCUGGGUUUAGAACGUCGUGAGACAGUUCGGUCCCUAUCUGCCGUGGGCGCUGGAGAACUGAGGGGGGCUGCUCCUAGUACGAGAGGACCGGAGUGGACGCAUCACUGGUGUUCGGGUUGUCAUGCCAAUGGCACUGCCCGGUAGCUAAAUGCGGAAGAGAUAAGUGCUGAAAGCAUCUAAGCACGAAACUUGCCCCGAGAUGAGUUCUCCCUGAGACUUAGAGUCUCCUGAAGGAACGUUGAAGACGACGACGUUGAUAGGCCGGGUGUGUAAGCGCAGCGAUGCGUUGAGCUAACCGGUACUAAUGAACCGUGAGGCUUAACCUUACAACGCCGAAG